rnacentral:ncRNA from 2 species
AUAUUUGCCGAUAAAUAUGGUGUUUGCCAAAAAUGAAAAGGGAAUCUGGUGAAAUUCCAGAACUGUACCCGCAACUGUAAGUGUUGACGAAAUAAGGAUAACCACUGUCCAAUUUUGGAUGGGAAGGACUUAAAGUAGAAUGAUACACGAGUCAGGAGACCUGCCAUAUUUAUAGCGACUUA